rnacentral:lncRNA from 1 species
ACUCCUGUCGCAAGUCAAUUGAUUUAUCAAGGGUAUGUUUCAGAUGAGACUAGAUUUCAGUAAUUAAACUCGGGAUAUAAAACAGAACAUGCCAUGGCUUGAAUUCAUUCUGAACAAUCUAUGGCUUAUAUGGAAGUAAUAGAAAGUCAUUACAGAAUAGAACCAUUUAUUAUUUCAAACUUAUUACAUUCUUUUGCUAACAAAAGAGUUUCAGUAGAUCUUUUGAAGGACACUUCACUGAUUACGCCUGCUCAGCUUCUUCUUCUUCUUCUUCUCCAGCAGUCUCUUCUUCGGCUAAAUCUGCAUCCGCUGCAUCUUCCUCUGCUAAAUCUGCAUCUGCUAAAUCGGCAUCUGCUACAUCAUCUGCUAAAUCUGCAGGCAUCUCUUCAUCUAUUGCUUUCUUCGGUGGUGGAGGCCUUUUAGGCUUUUUAGGGGCAGGCUUCACCAGUGGAGAUUUACCUGGCUUCUUUUUCGGUGGGAUUUUCUUUCCUGCUUUGGGUGGCUUCCCUUUCCCUCCUUUAGGAGGCUUUUUACCUCCUUUUCCUCCUGGUUUUUUACCUCCCUUUCCUCCUGGUUUUUUGCCUCCUUUCCCUCCUGGUUUUUUCGGUCCUUGUUUCUUGCCUGCGCCCUUCUUAGGAGGUUUGUUUUUUACUCCUCCUUUUUUAACUGGUUUUUUCUGUUUCUGCACAAAUUUGUAAGAAGACACUUUUAUCAGCUUGUAAAAUCAAAAUGGAAUCAGUCGAGCUACUACAAGUAAACUCGCAACUGCUUUGUUUAGAGCUAACUGGCUCAUAUCCCCCUGCAUAAAUCCAAGCAUCUUAAAAUUGUAAAUUCAAUAAUAACGGUGUUCAUGAAGUUGAAUGAAAAUUUUAUCAAGUGUCUAGUGUCAUGCCCCGCAUGUAGCUGCCAAAAGCAUAUCCCCGUAUAUCUUAUAGAGAAUCUCUCAAUUCUUUUAGAGCAACCAGGAAGAGAUUCACUGUUCAGAUUUUUGCUCAAGGCCACACCCUCUUUUGGAGGGCGUGACACUAGUGAUACUAUAUAUGAAAAAUGUGGAAUAUAUUUAACAUCAAUGAGCAAAACAAGAGAACUAAGAUGUAGGCAUUGAUGAUACAUUACAUUUUGCAGGAAAAGUGCUCUGGCGUCAGCAGCUCCUCCUGGCUCCCCUUCUGCUGA